CUCCUGCUACCUGAGCCUGAAGCAAAGUUGAUGCGGGAAAAAGGGCCAUUCAGUACUAAUACCCCCUAGCAUUAGUGAGCCAGACAAGUGUUCACUGAUAUGGUCCUCAGAUCACUUCUUUUUUGUUUUUAAAUUAGCGAACUAUUUUACUUUUUUAUUUUAUUUAAUUCAUUUCCAUUGCGUUUGUCCUUCGGCCCAUCUGUAAUGGAAUUGCUGCGUGCGUGGCAGUGGAUUAUUGCUGGUUUGAAGGGCAGACAUGCAAGAAGAAGCUGCAGCAUAAAUCAAUCAAUCAGCUGAAUAGAAUGUCAGUAAAAGAUAAAAUGACUUAGUAGUGUGUGCAAGAAGGCCUUCCGUUGGGGAUGUUUCUUCAACUGUGGGUGAAGAUUAACGCAUCCCUCUUAACUUUCCUUUUUCUAAAAGUCUACAGAUAUCAGAGUCUGUGAAAGCGGCGAUUGAGUGAGCGCCAGUAGUAGGGGGAUACAACAAAAUGAACAUAUCCAAUCCAUAGAGGAACUUGUGCAAAUCCACAACCAAAUAUUUUCUUAUUUUUUAUUUAUUUAUUUAUUUAUUUAUUUUUUAAAAAAAGGGU
rnacentral:sRNA from 2 species